rnacentral:rRNA from 1 species
CAAUAGCGUAUAUUAAAGUUGUUGCAGUUAAAAAGCUCGUAGUUGGAUUUGUGGCGUACGGUGUGUUCCGGGCACUUGUUGUCUGAGUAACCUGCUGUUGCCAUCCUUGGGUGGAACCUGUGUGGCAUUAGGUUGUCGUGCAGGGGAUGCCCAUCAUUUACUGUGAAAAAUUUAGAGUGUUCAAAGCAGGCUUAUGCCGUUGAAUAUAUUAGCAUGGAAUAAUGAGAUAGGACUUUUUUGCUAUUUUGUUGGUUUGCGCAAGAAGGUAAUGAUUAAUAGGGACAGUUGGGGGUAUUCGUAUUCCAUUGUCAGAGGUGAAAUUCUUGGAUUUUUGGAAGACGAACUACUGCGAAAGCAUUUACCAAGGAUGUUUUCAUUAA